UGUAAGCGUAUACCAAAGUUGUUGCAGUUAAAACGCUCGUAGUCGGAAUUUGGCAGUUCCGGAUGUGUGCACGUCGUGUGCGCACUUCGCGGGGAUUGCUUUUGUGGUCUUGCGUAGGAUGAGGCACUUUUAUUAGUGAACGUCCUCACGCAACCACUUUUUACUGUGAGAAAAUCAGAGUGCUCAAAGCAGGCAUUUGCCGUGAAUGUAUUAGCAUGGAAUAAUAGAAUAGGACUUGGUUCUAUUUUGUUGGUUUGUUGGGACUGAGUAAUGAUUAAGAGGGACAGUUGGGGGCAUUUGUAUUUCGGUGCUAGAGGUGAAAUUCUUAGAUUACCGAAAGACAAACUGCUGCGAAAGCGUCUGCCAAGGAUGUUUUCAUCAA
rnacentral:rRNA from 1 species